rnacentral:rRNA from 1 species
GCUGGCGGCAGGCCUAACACAUGCAAGUCGAACGGUAACAGGAAGCAGCUUGCUGCUUUGCUGACGAGUGGCGGACGGGUGAGUAAUGUCUGGGAAACUGCCUGAUGGAGGGGGAUAACUACUGGAAACGGUGGCUAAUACCGCAUAACGUCGCAAGACCAAAGAGGGGGACCUUCGGGCCUCUUGCCAUCAGAUGUGCCCAGAUGGGAUUAGCUUGUUGGUGAGGUAACGGCUCACCAAGGCGACGAUCCCUAGCUGGUCUGAGAGGAUGACCAGCCACACUGGAACUGAGACACGGUCCAGACUCCUACGGGAGGCAGCAGUGGGGAAUAUUGCACAAUGGGCGCAAGCCUGAUGCAGCCAUGCCGCGUGUAUGAAGAAGGCCUUCGGGUUGUAAAGUACUUUCAGCGGGGAGG